GAUGAAGGAACGCAGCGAAAUGCGAUACGUAAUGUGAAUUGCAGAAUUCAGUGAAUCAUCGAAUCUUUGAACGCAUAUUGCGCUCUCUGGUAUUCCGGAGAGCAUGCUUGUUUGAGUAUCAGUAAACACCUCAACUUCCAUAUCUUUUUUGAAAUGGGAGUUGGACUUGAGUGAUCCCAACGCUUUUCCUCACCGAAAAGUGGCGGGUUACUUGAAAUGCAGGUGCAGCUGGACUUUUCUCUGAGCUAUAAGCAUAUCUAUUUAGUCUGCCUAAAAAACAGAUUAUUACCUUUGCUGCAGCUAACAUAAAGGAGAUUAGUUCUUGUGCUGACUGAUGCAGGAUUCACAAAGACGGCUUCGGCCGACUUUGUAAACUCGAUCUCAAAUCAAGUAAGACUACCCGCUGAACUUAAGCAUAUCAAUAAGCGGAGGA
rnacentral:misc_RNA from 1 species